GCCGGGAUGGCACAAUCUGGUACUGCGCAGGACUGGAAAUCCUGUUUCCUUCGGGAUGUCUGGGUUCAAAUCCCAGUCCCGGCG
rnacentral:tRNA from 1 species